UACGUAGGGGGCAAGCGUUGUCCGGAUUCAUUGGGCGUAAAGAGCGUGUAGGCGGCCAGGUAGGUCGGUUGUGAAAACUGGAGGCUCAACCUUCAGAGGUCGACCGAAACCAUCUGGCUAGAGUCCGGGAGAGGAGAGUGGAAUUCCUGGUGUAGCGGUGAAAUGCGUAGAUAUCGGGAGGAACACCUGUGGCGAAGGCGACCCCCUGGUUGGAUACUGACGCUGAGACGCGAAAGCGUGGGGAGCAAACAGG
rnacentral:rRNA from 1 species